rnacentral:lncRNA from 1 species
UGCAAGGAGGCGGAGGCCCAGGGGCACCCCCAGGAGGCUGUUUUUUGGUAAUGACUUUCGAGAGGAAAGAGGUAUCCCGGACAGCUGGACCCGAAGCGGGAGUCUCCGCCCCCACCCCCACCCCCACACCCCCACCCCGCGCUCGGGAGCCUCUCGGAAUAAAUAUUUCCAGGCUCCGGGCCACGGGCUGGCGAGACCCCGCGGGGUGGCCGCAGGCCAAAGAUUAUUUAUAGCGGUAAGCGGUCGGUGCCCGGAGGCAGCAACUACAGAUGGGGGUUGGAGUUUCCUCCGCUCUCCGGUGUGGCCCGCGCAGGGACCCGGCGGCCCUCGGAGGACUCUGCAGGGCGGGGUCACGGGCCCAGAGCCGCGAUUUUCCUAAUGCAUUUUGCCCUGGAAAUAACGGAGACGGACUUUGGUUGCCGCCCUGGAGUUUGGAACCCGAGCGCGGGGCGGGGCGGGACCGGGCAGGGCGACCCGCGCAGAAAACUACUUCCAGCUAAAUGUGCACACACGCCAGUACAGCCGAAAAGUGACUCUGCAGAACCCGGAGCCCUAAUCACUUUUCCACAUGCGCCUCCGGCCCGGCGCGCGACGGGGAACGAGCUGGGAGCGCCCGCGCAGCCAGGAGGGGGGCUGGGCCGCGGGAACGCUGUCCCCCUCCCAGGCUGGAAGGCGGGGAUAAUUCCCCCUGCCGUGCAGCCCUUCUAGACGGCGUCUACCCCUUUAAGAAAAAUCUAGGCGGAGGUGGGGUGCGACAGAAGGGGUGGUGAGGCGAGGGUUUCCCUCCCUCCGUCUGCUAUACCCGUCUCCCUCGCUCCGUCUCACUCUCCGUCUUUCCUCUCCUUCUUUUCCUCUGUUUUUCUUUUCUUUCAACACAAAAGUUGGGUUGUGAAUUUUCCGAGGUCGCCGCCGCCUCGCCCCCACCCCCCGCCUCUGAUCUGCCUAACUAUAAUUAAAGUGCGUUUUUUGUGGCAUUAAUAAAGAGUUAUUUGUCCGCCGUUUCCACGGUCUUCACAAAGAGUACUUUCAUAGGGGCGGCCGCUCGGGCCGCGAGUCCAAUUUAUACAAAAAUGUUGUAUUUUUAGCCCUGGGCUCUGUUUAGAUGGCGCUCGGUGGAAACGGAGAGCCCUUGGAGGUCCCCCCGUAAAAUCUGAUAAAUGACUCCGAAAAAAUAACGCUGGGAUUCAGAGGGCUCUCAUUAACCCCUUAGGCGCUCCUGUACACGUACCCCCUAUUUCCCUCCUCACCUCCAGAUCUAGGGCCCCGGGUUGGAGGGAUGGGGAGGCUUAGGUUUCCUCCUCCCUAACUUCUGUGCAGGUUGGACGCUGACCCCCAGGGGCUCUUGUGGGAUUCGGAGAAAAGGUCAUGGGGACCUGAGGGGGGGCAGAGAGGUCAGGAAACGAAGUGGGGGUGGGUGGUGACAGACCGUGGAUUCAGCAGACUGGCUCUAAAAGGCGGGAGCCGUUGCCCAAGUUAUUUUAUUUCCUAAAUUCGCGGCCCAAAGCCUAGAGCACCGCUGCAGUUGACACUUUAAGUGUGGUGGCGAGGGAAAGGCUCUGGGGAUUUCUUUGCGGGGGGUGGGGGGGUGAUACAUCCAUUGGUUGAAAGGACCCCCACCUCAUUGCACGAACAACCCCAAAAAGAGAUGGGCCUAAUCCGGGACGUGGAAAGACCACAGGGCAGAGGAACUUCGAACCCCCUCCCCGCCCCCGCUCCGCUGUCACUCGUCCCGGGGCAGGGUGAGUGCGUGUGUGCGCGAGCGCGCGGAUUGCACGCGUCUGUUAAUUUCAAGCCAAGCUUUCGCACCUGUAAACCCACAGGUCGCAGCGCUCACCUUUCGCUUCACCUCUCUAGUGCGGGGAUUGUCAGUUUCAGGACAUCCCUGCUUCCCCUAACAGAACAAACGCGCGUACACACAAAUACACCUCCCGCAGUUACUGCAGAGGCGCUCCGCUCCCCCACCCCAAG